rnacentral:rRNA from 1 species
GAUGAACGCUAGCGGCAGGCCUAAUACAUGCAAGUCGGACGGGAUUGAGGAGCUUGCUUCUCAUGAGAGUGGCGCACGGGUGCGUAACACGUAUGCAACCUACCUUACAUUGGGGGAUAGCCUUUCGAAAGGGAGAUUAAUACCGCAUAAGACAGUAGCUGGGCAUCCAGCAGCUGUUAAAGAUUUAUCGAUGUAAGCUGGGCAUGCGUCCAAUUAGCUAGUUGGUGAGGUAACGGCUCACCAAGGCAAUGAUUGGUAGGGGAACUGAGAGGUCAAUCCCCCACACUGGCACUGAGAUACGGGCCAGACUCCUACGGGAGGCAGCAGUAGGGAAUAUUGGGCAAUGGACGCAAGUCUGACCCAGCCAUGCCGCGUGCAGGAUGAAGGCGUUAUGCGUUGUAAACUGCUUUUAUACAGGAAGAAACGACUCUUGCGAGAGGCAUUGACGGUACUGUAUGAAUAAGCACCGGCUAACUCCGUGCCAGCCGCCGCCGUAA